GGUUAAUGGAGACCUGUAUGAAGGGCAACACGAGGGCUUGACUGUCUCCUCUUUCAAGUCAAUGAAAUUGAUCUCCCCGUGCAGAAGCGGGGAUACAGUCAUAAGACGAGAAGACCCUAUGGAGCUUUAGACACGAAAGCAGCCCCUGUUAAACACCCCCUCUUAAAGGGCAAAACCAAAGGGACCCUGCCCUAAUGUCUUUGGUUGGGGCGACCGCGGGGAAACACAAAACCCCCACGUGGAACGGGACCACCUCUUCCUUAAUCAAAGAGCUACCGCUCUAAGAAACAAAAAUUUUGACCUCCAGAUCCGGCAAAGCCGAUCAACGGACCGAGUUACCCUAGGGAUAACAGCGCAUUCCUCUUUUAGAGCCCAUAUCGACAAGGGGGUUUACGACCUCGAUUUUGGAUCAGGACAUCCUAAUGGUGCACCCGCUAUAAAGGGUUCGUUUGUUCAACGAUAAAAGUCCUACUUGAUCUGAUUUCAAACCGGAGGUCAUACCUUUUU
rnacentral:rRNA from 1 species